rnacentral:rRNA from 1 species
GACGAACGCUGGCGGCGUGCCUAACACAUGCAAGUCGAACGGAGUUGAAAGGAGCUUGCUUUUUUCAACUCAGUGGCGGACGGGUGAGUAACGCGUGAGUAACCUGCCUUUCAGAGGGGGAUACGUUCUGAAAAGAACGCUAAUACCGCAUAAGAUUGUAGCUUCGCAUGGAGCAGCAAUCAAAGGAGCAAUCCGCUGAAAGAUGGACUCGCGUCCGAUUAGAUAGUUGGCGGGGUAACGGCCCACCAAGUCGACGAUCGGUAGCCGGACUGAGAGGUUGAUCGGCCACAUUGGGACUGAGACACGGCCCAGACUCCUACGGGAGGCAGCAGUGAGGGAUAUUGGGCAAUGGGGGAAACCCUGACCCAGCAACGCCGCGUGAGGGAUGACGGUUUUCGGAUUGUAAACCUCUGUCCUCUGUGAAGAUAGUGACGGUAGCAGAGGAGGAAGCUCCGGCUAACUACGUGCCAGCAGCCGCGGUAAUACGUAGGGAGCAAGCGUUGUCCGGAUUUACUGGGUGUAAAGGGUGCGUAGGCGGAUUGGCAAGUCAGAAGUGAAAUCCAUGGGCUUAACCCAUGAACUGCUUUUGAAACUGUUAGUCUUGAGUGAAGUAGAGGUAGGCGGAAUUCCCGGUGUAGCGGUGAAAUGCGUAGAGAUCGGGAGGAACACCAGUGGCGAAGGCGGCCUACUGGGCUUUAACUGACGCUGAGGCACGAAAGUGUGGGUAGCAAACAGGAUUAGAUACCCUGGUAGUCCACACUGUAAACGA